rnacentral:rRNA from 1 species
AGAGGUCGUAACCCCCCCCACAUUGGUACUGAGACACGGACCAAACUCCUACGGAAGGCAGCAG